rnacentral:sRNA from 1 species
CUGCGUGACGAAGCCCGUGCUAAAGUAGACAAUAAAGGCUAAGCAACGAGUGAGUCGCCCUGCGCCGGCUAAGCCGGCGUCCAGAUUA